rnacentral:rRNA from 1 species
GAUGAACGCUGGCGGCGUGCCUAAUACAUGCAAGUCGAGCGUACGGACGAGAAGCUUGCUUCUCUGAUGUUAGCGGCGGACGGGUGAGUAACACGUGGAUAACCUACCUAUAAGACUGGGAUAACUUCGGGAAACCGGAGCUAAUACCGGAUAAUAUUUUGAACCGCAUGGUUCAAAAGUGAAAGACGGUCUUGCUGUCACUUAUAGAUGGAUCCGCGCUGCAUUAGCUAGUUGGUAAGGUAACGGCUUACCAAGGCAACGAUGCAUAGCCGACCUGAGAGGGUGAUCGGCCACACUGGAACUGAGACACGGUCCAGACUCCUACGGGAGGCAGCAGUAGGGAAUCUUCCGCAAUGGGCGAAAGCCUGACGGAGCAACGCCGCGUGAGUGAUGAAGGUCUUCGGAUCGUAAAACUCUGUUAUUAGGGAAGAACAUAUGUGUAAGUAACUGUGCACAUCUUGACGGUACCUAAUCAGAAAGCCACGGCUAACUACGUG